GGAAGCCGAGCUGGUCUGGAUUCCCACCAUGGCCUGGGCCGCGCUCCUCGUGGUGCUCACGUACUGCUCAGGUUCCCUUGCCGAGUACGUGCUAACGCAGCCGCCCGCAGUGUCUGUGUCUCCAGGACAAACUGCUCACAUCACGUGCAGUGGAGAGAAGCUUAACAAGAAGUAUGCACAAUGGUACCAGCAGAAACCUGGCAGCGUCCCCCGACUUCUUAUAUACAAGGAUAAAGAGAGACCCUCCGAUGUCCCUGACCAAUUCUCUGGGGCCAGCUCCGGUACCACAGCCACGCUGACCAUCACUGGAGUCCAAGCACAGGACGAGGCUGAUUAUUACUGUCUGAGUAGUGAUGACAGUGGCACUCCUCACAGUGACACCGGGCAAUGGGGAA